CCUGGUUGAUCCUGCCAGUAGUCAUAUGCUUGUCUCAAAGAUUAAGCCAUGCAUGUGUAAGCACACACUGUUUUAAAAGUGAAGCCGCGAAUGGCUCAUUACAACAGCCACAGUUUAUUAGAACUUACAUACAUGGAUAACUGUGGUAAUUCUAGAGCUAAUACAUGCUAAAAAUCCCGACUGUUUGGAAGGGAUGUAUUUAUUAGAUAAAAAAUCAAUGCUUUUCGGAGCUCUUUGAUGAUUCAUAAUAACUUUUCGAAUCGCAUGGCCUUGUGCUGGCGAUGGUUCAUUCAAAUUUCUGCCCUAUCAACUUUCGAUGGUAGGAUAGUGGCCUACCAUGGUUUCAACGGGUAACGGGGAAUAAGGGUUCGAUUCCGGAGAGGGAGCCUGAGAAACGGCUACCACAUCCAAGGAAGGCAGCAGGCGCGCAAAUUACCCACUCCCAGCUUGGGGAGGUAGUGACGAAAAAUAACGAGACGAUUCUCGUUUGAGAAACGUUAUCGAAAUGAGUACGCUUUACACACGCUAACGAGUAGCAAUUGGAGGGCAAGUCUGGUGCCAGCAGCCGCGGUAAUUCCAGCUCCAAUAGCGUAUAUUAAAGUUGCUGCGGUUAAAACGCUCGUAGUUGAAUUGUGGUCUUAGACAACAGUCCCCCUAUAUAGGUGUGGCACGGUUGCUCGAGAUCUUCAUUCGUGGUUGCUGUUGUUGCUCUUCAUUGAGUGUCAAUGGUGCCUCGAGAUUUUACUUUGAAAAAAUUAGAGUGCUCAAAGCAGGUUGUGAUGCCUGAAUAAUGGUGCAUGGAAUAAUAGAAUACGAUCUCGGUUCUAUUUUGUUGGUUUUCGAACCGGAGAUAAUGAUUGAAAGGAACAGACGGGGGCAUUCGUAUUGCUGCGUUAGAGGUGAAAUUCUUGGAUCGCAGCAAGAUGAACAAUUGCGAAAGCAUUUGCCAAGAAUGUUUUCAUUAAUCAAGAACGAAAGUUAGAGGUUCGAAGGCGAUCAGAUACCGCCCUAGUUCUAACGGUAAACUAUGCCAACCAGCGAUUCGCCGAAGUUCAUUUAAGACUCGGCGAGCAGCUUCCGGGAAACCAAAGUGUUUCGGUUCCGGGGGAAGUAUGGUUGCAAAGCUGAAACUUAAAGGAAUUGACGGAAGGGCACCACCAGGAGUGGAGCCUGCGGCUUAAUUUGACCCAACACGGGAAAACUCACCCGGCCCGGACACUGAAAGGAUUGACAGAUUGACAGCUCUUUCUUGAUUCAGUGGGUAGUGGUGCAUGGCCGUUCUUAGUUGGUGGAGUGAUUUGUCUGCUUAAUUGCGAUAACGAACGAGACCUUAACCUACUAAAUAGUGCUGCUAGCUUUUGCUGGUAUAGUCACUUCUUAGAGGGACUAUCGAUUUCAAGUCGAUGGAAGUUUGAGGCAAUAACAGGUCUGUGAUGCCCUUCGAUGUCCGGGGCUGCACGCGCGCUACAAUGAAAGCGUCAACGUGAGUUACGUCCUUACCUGAAAAGGUUUGGCAAUCGAUUGAAACGUUUUCUUGAAUGGAAUAGGGAAUUGCAAUUGUUUCCCUUGAACGAGGAAUUCCCAGUAAGCGUGAGUCAUUAGCUCGCGUUGAUUACGUCCCUGCCCUUUGUACACACCGCCCGUCGCUACUACCGAUUGGAUGAUUUAGUGAGGUGUUUUGACUAGCGCCUGUAGUCGGAUGUAUAUUCGGCUUCGCGCCGGGAAAUUUCCCAAACCAAAUCAUCUAGAGGAAGUAAAAGUCGUAACAAGGUUUCCGUAGGUGAACCUGCGGAAGGAUCA
rnacentral:rRNA from 1 species